GGUGCUCGUUGGAGCAGCGGACAAAGGAUCGUAAGCGAGGGUUGUUUCCUGGUGAAGAAAACGAUGGCGCGACGAGAACAAAAAUACGAGACAACGAAGAACGGCACGUGGGAACCGGAUAGAGGCACGUGCCUCGGGUUUCGACAACUCCUGGUGAGCGGCGGACUAUUUCCGCGUGACGAGGAAAUUGUUCUCCGACCGCCCUGACGCCGCGGGAGGCGACUCGCAGAGGUUCGUCGCGCCCUCGCAGCGGGUGAUGGACCUCGCGUGGUCUUACGCUCGUCUUUUCGGACUACGAUUGACUACGAAGUUUAAAACGACUCGGAAAUUCACCCGGUGAUGAUAAUCUCUGCGAGUCACUGAGAAAAAUGAUCCACUGCCGAUCAAGACUGCGGAGAAUUUGGAUCUAAGAGGAGUUUCAGUUUUUAGGGUUGAAAGAGGAUUGAUGAAGAAUGGAAUUUUGGUUUUUCUAUUGAUUUACUUAUUUUCUUUGCGUUGCACAUAAAUAAACUAAGAAUGUUUAUGGAUGCAUAUACUGAAAUUUAGUGUACCAAAUGCGCGUAAUAUGCAAAAAUAGUAUAGACACACAUAGUUAUUUA